UUCCAAAUGCAUUUUUAAAAAAAGCAAAAAAACUUUUGACAUGAGCUUUGAAUUCAAAUAUUUUUAAAAGAGUAUAAAAACUUGAAUAUCAUCAUCUUCUUCUUGAGCUUGAAAGAUGAUUCCUUUUAAGCUUCAAUUGUAUUAUUCAUUAUUGAGGGAGAGAAAGGGAAAAACAUUAUAUUUCAUCUCUCAAUUCUUAAGAUGGAAUUAAAAAAGAGUGGCUGCUCCUUUCUUGUGAGAAGUGUUUGGCGAAGCAAUUGUGAGAGGUGGAGCUAGUCACCUCAAUAAACAAGCAUUGUGAAAUGUAAAGCUGGAUGCCCUUAUAAAAAAAAAAACAAAAAACAAAUUGUGUAAGGGACUGAAGCUUGACACCUUGAAACAAGCUUGAUAAUGGAAAUUCCUAAAUGGGGACUCGAGAAGCAGAUGUAGGCACACGUUGGAUAUCAUAUACAAGUAUUAUAUUAUAAGAGGUUGACAUUGGAUAACAUUGAUAUUCGGGAGAAAUAGAGGAAUUACUAUAUUAUAAUGGUUUAUUAAAUUAAUAAAAAAAACAAAUUAUCAAGUUUUACUACAUAGUUGAAAACAUUAAUUAGAGUGUCUAUUAAACUUAAACAAAAGUUUACAUGGCCCCUCACUCUAUGGAUUAAGGUGACUUAGACACUGGAUACUUCCAAAAAACCUAACAUAUAUAGUUAUUUAAAAAAAAAAACAACUAUAACAGUUAUCGGUUACUAUAGUACUUAAAAAAGCUAAUGUGGAAUGAUGGUUAUCCAGACUUUGUGGAUUGGGCUUUGCAUAACCAGUAGAUCUACCUAAUUCUAUAGACACACAAGAUCUGUACUCUCAUUCCUUACACAUAUGGACCUAUGGUUGUCCCAUUGUGGCCAUUAUUCAACCUUAAUUGUCUGGAGGAAGAGAGAGUCCUCUCCUAUUGCAAACCCUGGAUCAAGUAACAAUUCUAUAGCUUGUUAUCGUUUUUCUGUGCAUUUAUAUAUGAUACAACUGAGAUUAUUCUAGACAUUCAAACUUUGUUAAAAUAAAAGCUCUCAAGGAUCAGACUUUUAACUCAAUUGAUCAUAUGGGAAGAGAAAACUUGAGCUAAAUCUCCCAUGAAAAUUAGUUCUCUUAUUAGAAAAAAGCAACAGCUUUAUUAAAAACCACACACCAAGAGCUUUCUGAAUCUCACGAAUUCAAGCACAUUGAUCAAUAUAUAUAUAUAUAUAUAUAUGUGUAUAUAUUCAUAACAGAUGCAACUAUCAAAAUCAUUUAGGUAGCUCACCCCUUUAAGAACCUAUCAAACCAAUCACUUACUUCUUUUACCAUCAACGGUGUCAUUUGAUGUCCAAUUCCAGGCUGGGCUACAAGCUGCAGGUGAAUUGAUUUUUUGGCAUUAAAAGCAUAGAAUUCAGAAGGGAUUAGCUAGUAAUGGUGUAUAUAAAAUAGAAAAUCAACCAGAAAACUACUAUUUCCACGUUAGAAUAUUAAUUAUGCUGUUCAGUUGGUGAGUAUAUCUGACAAAUGAAAAACAUUUUCUUGUUAUUUUAGAUAUAACUAUUAUUUUCAAUAGCAUUAUAAUUUUAGUAUUGAAAUAUUAUAUUACAAUAAUACUUAAAAUAAUUAAUAUAAAUUUAAAAAAUAAACUUAAUUCUACAAUUAUUGACUUAUAUCCCCAAAAGGUUACGAACUUCUUUUAGAGAUGUUAUCACGGCACCAUGGCCAUUGACACGCCUGGUCCUGCAGUUGAAAUGUUUGCCUCAGCACUAAAG
rnacentral:lncRNA from 1 species